UACGUAGGGAGCGAGCGUUGUCCGGAAUUACUGGGUGUAAAGGGCGUGUAGGCGGUAUGGCAAGUCAGAUGUGAAACCUCGGGGCUUAACCCCGAGCAUGCAUUUGAAACUGCAGUACUUGAGUGCAGGAGAGGUAAGCGGAAUUCCCGGUGUAGCGGUGAAAUGCGUAGAGAUCGGGAGGAACACCAGUGGCGAAGGCGGCUUACUGGACUGCAACUGACGCUGAGGCGCGAAAGCGUGGGGAGCAAACAGGAUUAGAUACCCUGGUAGUCCACGCUGUAAACGAUGAUUACUAGGUGUAGGGGGUAUCGACUCCCCCUGUGCCGGAGUUAACACAAUAAGUAAUCCACCUGGGGAGUACGGCCGCAAGGUUGAA
rnacentral:rRNA from 1 species